rnacentral:rRNA from 1 species
CAUAAUCUCUGAGGAGUAAAGCAGGGGAUCGAAAGACCUUGCGCUUAAGGACCGGCCGAUGUCUGAUUAGCUAGUUGGUAGGGUAAAGGCCUACCAAGGCGACGAUCAGUAGUUGGUCUGAGAGGACGACCAACCACACUGGGACUGAGACACGGCCCAGACUCCUACGGGAGGCAGCAGUGGGGAAUUUUGGACAAUGGGYGCAACCCUGAUCCAGCCAUGCCGCGUGAGUGAAGAAGGCCUUCGGGUUGUAAAGCUCUYUCAGUUGGGAAGAAAAGGUUGCGACUAAUAAUUGYAAYYCAU